CAGCCCCCGCGCGGCGUUUACCUCGCCAACUCCCCCAGGGCCGGAAGGCAGCAAGGGUACGCGGGCUCUGACGGGUGCGCGGGGGUCCCUU
rnacentral:SRP_RNA from 1 species